UCUAAAGAAAAGCAAUAAAGCAACGUUUGGUUCACCAACUGUCUACUCCAUUAAUCCUCCUGCAAACCGGUGUGCCACCGUUACAGGCACUGGCGUCACGAUCCUUAAAGGGACCUUACCUAAGGCACUCAAAACACCUACAACAUCCAGGGCACCUCACAUACCAU